rnacentral:lncRNA from 1 species
AGGAAGAUGGGGCUGGGGAAUUCUUUUUGGUUUUCUGGUUUUGUUUUGCUCUGGUUUUGGUCGGGUUUUGUAUUUUUCUACUCUUCCUUGGUUUUAUUUUUUCCUUUUUUUUUAUUUUUUGCUUUUUCUUUCCUGUCAUUUUCCCAGCCAAAAGCCGCCUUCGACCCUUUUGAUUUGAUGUAGCAAAGAGUGUGUGUCCAGAUUAUCUGAAAUAGACACAGAAGAAGCAGCAGCUCCUGCCUGCAGAUUUCCUCUUCUGAUUAAAGGCAUGAGGCUGUGCGCAGAAACAUUUCAUGCAGCAUGUUGCUUGGCGCAAAAGAGAAAAACAAAAGAAAGAGGAAA